UACGUAGGGUGCGAGCGUUGUCCGGAAUUAUUGGGCGUAAAGGGCUCGUAGGCGGUUUGUCGCGUCGGGAGUGAAAACCAUGGGCUUAACUCAUGGCUUGCUUCCGAUACGGGCAGACUAGAGGCAUGCAGGGGAGAACGGAAUUCCUGGUGUAGCGGUGAAAUGCGCAGAUAUCAGGAGGAACACCGGUGGCGAAGGCGGGUCUCUGGGCAGUAACUGACGCUGAGGAACGAAAGCGUGGGUAGCGAACAGG
rnacentral:rRNA from 1 species